CCUAUUGAUGCACAUGGACAUGAUGACUCUCUAACGUUUAUGGACCAACCAACAUGUAAUCAUGGACCUUAUUGUCUUGUAGACCAUUUGGUGUUUCGAGUGUUUUGGAGCUUGCACUUUGUGCAUGUAGAUACAAACUUGUGUGUUCUGGACCAUCUGAGGUCUCUCAUAGUAACCAAUAGUCCUUAUAUUUUUGUGACUUGUGUGUUCUAGAUGAUUGUUAAGAUGGUCAAAACUAUGCUUCCUCUAGGUUAAUUUGUUUGUCAACUUACGUUCAAUGUAUGUGCAUGUUUAUAAACAUAUUUUCAUUGUGCUGUAAUAUGUGUUUAUCUUGAACCUUCUUGUGGGUGUGAGGAUACUAAUUGAAUAUUUU
rnacentral:lncRNA from 1 species